rnacentral:pre_miRNA from 1 species
AUACUGCUCCCUCCGUCCAACAAAAGAUGUCUCAAGUUUAUUAAAAUUUAAAUGUACUAUCUAAACAUAACUUAGUGUAUAGAUGCAUUCAAAUUUAGUCAAAAUUGAGAUAUAUUCUUUGUUGGACGAAGGGAGUACCUG